CAGUCGCCGCGGUAAUACCGAGGGUGCGAGCGUUAAUCGGAUUUACUGGGCGUAAAGCGCGCGUAGGUGGUUUGUUAAGUUGGAUGUGAAAGCCCCGGGCUCAACCUGGGAACUGCAUCCAAAACUGGCAAGCUAGAGUACGGUAGAGGGUGGUGGAAUUUCCUGUGUAGCGGUGAAAUGCGUAGAUAUAGGAAGGAACACCAGUGGCGAAGGCGACCACCUGGACUGAUACUGACACUGAGGUGCGAAAGCGUGGGGAGCAAACAGGAUUAGAUACCCCCGUAGUCCCUGUCUCUUAUAC
rnacentral:rRNA from 1 species